rnacentral:rRNA from 1 species
GAUGAACGCUAGCUACAGGCUUAACACAUGCAAGUCGAGGGGCAUCGGGAAGAAAGCUUGCUUUCUUUGCCGGCGACCGGCGCACGGGUGAGUAACGCGUAUGCAACUUACCUAUCAGAGGGGGAUAACCCGGCGAAAGUCGGACUAAUACCGCAUGAAGCAGGGAUCCCGCAUGGGAAUAUUUGCUAAAGAUUCAUCGCUGAUAGAUAGGCAUGCGUUCCAUUAGGCAGUUGGCGGGGUAACGGCCCACCAAACCGACGAUGGAUAGGGGUUCUGAGAGGAAGGUCCCCCACAUUGGUACUGAGACACGGACCAAACUCCUACGGGAGGCAGCAGUGAGGAAUAUUGGUCAAUGGCCGAGAGGCUGAAACCAGCCAAGUCGCGUGAGGGAUGAAGGUUCUAUGGAUCGUAAAACCUCUUUUAUAAGGGAAUAAAGUGCGGGACGUGUCCCGUUUUGUAUGUACCUUAUGAAUAAGGAUCGGCUAAACUCCGUGCCAGCAGCCGCAGUAAG